GGAGGGGUCCAGCCGGUCAUAGAUAUCGUUGCCUUUGAACAUGGGGCCUGCUGGAUCCAGGGCUACAAGAAGGACAGACAAGCAACUCUGGUAAACAGGUCUCUGUUGUCGACACUCUCAGUACGGGCACCUUAAUUUUGGACCAAUCACUGCAGAAAGCUGCCUUGCAGUCAGUCCGGCGCACUCAGAGGGAGUCAGAGUUUGGAGAACUGAAUGAGAUUCCUGUUGAUCUCAGCAAUGUUUCGG